GAUGAACGCUGGCGGUGUGCCUUAGGCAUGCAAGUCGAACGGGAUAGUAGCAAUACUAUCCAGUGGCAGACGGGUGAGUAACGCGUAGGAAUCUACCCCUGGGUGGAGCAUAGCUGGCCGAAAGGUCAGGUAAUUCUCCAUAGUUCUCGUAAGAGUAAAGGACUUAACGGUCCGCCGAGGGAGGAGCCUGCGUCCUAUCAGCUAGUUGGUGAGGUAAAAGCUUACCAAGGCGAUGACGGGUAGCUGGACUGAGAGGUCGAUCAGCCACAACUGCACUGAGACACGGGCAGUACAUCUACGGAUGGCAGCAACCAGGAAUAUUGCGCAAUGGACGAAAGUCUGACGCAGCGACACCGCGUGGAGGAUGACGGCCUUAGGGUUGUAAACUCCUUUUGCCAAGCCGUUCACAGCUUGGAGAAUAAGCACCUACUAACUACGUGCCAGAAGUCUCGGUAAUACGUAGGGUGCAAGCGUUAUCCGGAUUUACUGGGCGUAAAGUGUGCGUAGGCGCCCCAAUAAGUCGUGCUUUAAAUACUAAGGCUUACCCUUAGAACUGAGUACGAUACUGCUGGGGUUGAGGAUUAACAGGGCAACUGGAACAGUUAGUGUAGCAGUGAAAUGCGUUGAUAUUAACUGGAACACCAAGGGCGAAGGCAAGUUGCUGGGUUUUUCCUGACGCUGAGGCACGAAAGCUAGGGUAGCGAAACAGAUUAGAUACCUGUGUAGUCCUAGCCGUAAACGAUGUCCGCUAACUAUGAUCAGUUUACUGGUCGUGGUUCAAGCUAACGCGUUAAGCGGACCGCCUGGGGAGUACGACCGCAAGGUUAAAACUCAAAGGAAUUGACGGGGACCCGCACAACUGGUGGAGCGUGUGGUUUAAUUCGAGACAAAGCGAAAAACCUUACCAGGGCUUGACAUGUAACCGUUUUAUACCUUAGGAAACUUUGGUAGAUCCGCAAGGAUGGUUAUGCAGGUGCUGCAUGGCUGUCGUCAGCUCGUGUCGUGAGAUGUUCCCUUAAGUGGGGAAACGAGCGCAACCCCCGCGAAAUGUUAAAUAUUCAUUUCGGACGGUCCCGAUCAUAUCGGGAAGGAAGGAGGGGAAGACGUCAAGUCAGCACGGCCCUUAUGCCCUGGGUUACACACACCCUACAAUGGCGAAUAACAAUGAGCCGCAAGCCGGUAACGGCAAGCAAAUCUCACAAAUUUCGCCUCAGUUCAGAUUGAGGGCUGCAACCCGCCCUCAUGAAGGAGGAAUCAGUAGUAAUCGCGAAUCAGAAGGUCGCGGUGAAUACGUUCUCGGGUCUUGUACACACCGCCCGUCAAGGCAGCAAAGUCGGGAGUGGAUGAAGGCCGCCGCAAGGUGGACGAGUCCAAGCUUGGCGAUGAAGCUU
rnacentral:rRNA from 1 species